GGCCGAUGAGGUAAAUGUAAAUGUAGUGGAUUGUGACUUGCACACAACAGGUGCUCGCUUGUGGCGUGGCUCAACCAACCCUUGCUUCUCAGACAGUGUAUUUGCAUUAUCUGCAGUGAGAUGCUGAACAAGAAAGUGACUUAGUGGGAGAAGCGGGUGUUGUCAGAAUAUUUCUGUUUUGUCCUCAUACCUCCACCUCCACCUUGCCAAGCUGGCAAAGACCAAUGGAGGCAGGUGUCAGGGGUUCAGAGAGAGAGGCACAGGGUAGGCAGGAGAUGGAGAGCGAGGGGGAGGAAUUCCAAGCCAGCGAGGAAGAGGAUGACAAUGACUCAAGGGAUUCCAUGAGUCUUUCCAGCGAAUCAGAGGAUUCCCAGAGGGGCGCCGGUGGUCACGGCCAGGGAGCCCCAGGGGGAAGUGUCAGGAGCAGGGUGCCAGCGGAGGAUCCCAAAGUGGCAGCUGGGCGUCAGGACCAGCCUCCCCACCAAAGUGCAGUGAAGGGGUGGAGUUUCCAGUGUGUCAGAGGAAGCAGCUCCAGCAGCAGAGAAAGGAGGGGGUCAGAGCAAGCCGCCCUCCCGGAAGGGGAGGAGCAGUGAAGGGAGUAGUGUAACUGUCAAAAGGAAAGUUAGAGGUUUGGCGCGCGCGCCUGGUUCAAAUGUAGAGGCGCGCGGAAGUGCAGGGAGUCCGGAGGAGGGGCCAGGUCCCAAAGCCCGCAGGAGGGGAAGAGCAGUCUGAUUCCGCGUCAGAGGAAUCCAGAAGGAGCGCAACCCCAGGGGGCAGAAGGACCCUGCGGAAAAGGAAGGAGAGAAAGAGGUGGAGCAGCGCAAGUCUCUUAAAUUGGUGCAGGGGAGGGACUGACUCAGAGGGGACUUCAGCGGUCUAGCGUAAGCGACGUAAGGCUGCGCGCCUAGGAUGUCAAGCAAACCAUGAACUGCAAUAAACACCUUUGUAUAUAAGAAGACAUAGGCGUUGGUCUUUUGUGAGCUAAGACUUGAGGCAGCCUUGACAGCAGGUUUCAUAUUGCAUUAAUAAAACUCCUUUCUAGUUCAGUUCCUAAAGUCUGGGCUCCGUUUUCUCUUCCCAAGAACAUUAUGGGGAUG